GACGAACGCUGGCGGCGUGCCUAAUACAUGCAAGUCGAGCGCGAGAAGCAAGCAGAUCCCUUCGGGGUGACGCUUGUGGAACGAGCGGCGGACGGGUGAGUAACACGUGGGCAACCUGCCUGCAGGAUCGGGAUAACUCCGGGAAACCGGUGCUAAUACCGGAUAAUACUUUCUUCUUCAUGGAAGAGAGAUGAAAGACGGUUUCGGCUGUCACCUGAAGAUGGGCCCGCGGUGCAUUAGCUAGUUGGUGAGGUAACGGCUCACCAAGGCAACGAUGGAUAGCAGACCUGAGAGGGUGAUCGGCCACACUGGGACUGAGACACGGCCCAGACUCCUACGGGAGGCAGCAGUAGGGAAUCUUCCGCAAUGGACGAAAGUCUGACGGAGCAACGCCGCGUGAGUGAUGAAGGUUUUCGGAUCGUAAAACUCUGUUGUAAGGGAAGAACAAGUACGAUAGUAACUGCUCGUACCUUGACGGUACCUUACCAGAAAGCCACGGCUAACUACGUGCCAGCAGCCGCCGUAACAC
rnacentral:rRNA from 1 species